GAUGAAGAACCAGUGAAAUGCGAUAAGUAAUGUGAAUUGCAGAAUUCAGUGAAUCAUCGAAUCUUUGAACGCACAUUGCGCCCCUUGGUAUUCCGAGGGGCAUGCCUGUUCGAGCGUCAUUAUAACCCCUCAAGCUCAGCUUGGUGUUGGGGCCUGCUGCACUGGCAGCCCUUAAAAUCAGUGGCGGCGCCGUCUGGCUCUAAGCGUAGUAAUUCUUCUCGCUAUGGAGUCCUGGUGGAUGCUUGCCAUCAACCCCCAAUUUUUCUAUGGUUGACCUCGGAUCAGGUAGGGAUACCCGCUGAACUUAAGCAUAUCAAUAAGCGGAGGA
rnacentral:misc_RNA from 1 species